AUUGAACGCUGGCGGCAGGCCUAACACAUGCAAGUCGAACGAGUGGCGGACGUGUGAGUAAUGUCUGGGCAACUGCCCGAUGGAGGGGGAUAACUACUGGAAACGGUAGCUAAUACCGCCUACCAUCGGAUGUGCCCAGCUGGGAUUAGCGAGGAGGUGGGGUAACGGCUCACCUAGGCGACGAUCCCUAGCUGGUCUGAGAGGAUGACCAGAAACACUGGAACUGAGACACGGUCCAGACUCCUACGGGAGGCAGCAGAGGGGAAUAUGGCACAAUGGGCGCAAGCCUGAUGCAGCCAUGCCGCGUGUAUGAAGAAGGCCUUCGGGUUGUAAAGUACUGUCAGCGGGGAGGCGUUACCCGCAGAAGAAGCACCGGCUAACUCCGUGCCAGCAGCCGCGGUAAUAC
rnacentral:rRNA from 1 species